GGGAAUGUGGAGAACCACAAGGGAAGGGCACUGAGACAGCAUCUUUACCCACUCCACCUCCAACUAGGCUCCAGGGGUCAGGAGGAGCAUAUGAAGGUGGAUGGGAAUGAGAUGUGACUUGUGUUAAGCUGACAAAGAACUUGCAGACAGGCAGACUGAUAAACUGCUACUUUCUCAAUCUCAACAACAGGUCUAACUUGUCCACCUUAUCCUUCAGCAACCACCACACUGAUACUUAGCAGCCAUCAACAUCAAGACAAGACCUCCAUCAGUAAAAAGAUUUUGACUCACUGAGAAUUCAGACAGCAAGCAAUCUGGUAUUGGUUAAAUGUGUAAUUCUUCACAUCAUGUUGCCCAAGGGAAAAAAAAUCAAAAGGAAAAAACAAGACAAAGGGAAAAAAACAAACAACAAAAAGGCAAAAAUACUAAACUUUGAUCCACAUUCAGUCUCCAUCAUUCUCUCUCUGAAUGUGGUUGGCACUUUCUAACAAAAGUAUUGGAAUUGCCUUGAAUCAUCUUUUUGAAAAGAGCCAACUCCAUCACAGCUGAUCACCACAUUACCUUGUUAUUGUGUACAAUGUUGUUCUUUUGGUUCUGCUCACUUAACAUCAAUUCGUGUCUUUCCAGGAUUUUCAGAAAUCAGUCUGCCAUCAUUUCUUAUAGAACAAUUUCUUAUAUUCAUAUACCAUUCCUCAACUGAUGGGCAUCCACUCAAUUUCCAGUUCCUCCGCCACUACACAUAGGGUAGCCACAUUUUUGCAUAUGUAGGUCCAUUUUCCUCAUGUUUUAUUUGGGCUACAGACCCUCAA